AGCUCGGCUCACUUUGUUUUAUUGGGUAAGAUUUAUAGACUCACAAACUAGAAAAAAAAGGAAUCUGCUCUGUGGAGAACCUGUUUCUUAUAAAUUUAGAAUUCUCGAUGUUUCCUCCAUGAAUCUAUUGUUGCCUGAGCCAGUAGAUGCUUACUUAUGGAAUGCAGGAGAUAUUUAUUAAUCUUUCUUACUUUAAUAAAAUAUUAUGGGCACAUGAGCCUACCUAAAUGAUCUCACUGACCCUUCUCCCCUUCAUUUCUUAGAAAUGAGUACUUUGUUCCUUCUGCUUCUUCAACAUUUAGCCUUUUCUUCUCCAUAUUUCCUCAGUCUGUGGAUCUCUUUUGAGAACUGGAGUCACCCUAACAGGAAGCCUCAGCUAUAUUUCCCAGAGGACCCAGGCAGGCCUGCACAGGAGGAGGCAGUCCCUGAGUGUGUGACACAGACGCUCAUGGUCCACUUUAGCCUUCUGCAACAACAACAGAUUUGCAGCCACUCUGGGUACCGUGGUUCCAGCCCUCUCAAGGUCACUGCCUCCUGAAGAAACUGCACUGAGUCUGCCUUCCACCUGUCUGUCUCUGGACCAUCUUUCUUCACCAACUGUACUGCUCACGUGGGCCACCUGGCUUAAAUGGUUUUCCACUUCUCUUUUAAGACAUAAAACUUUGAAAUAGUGC
rnacentral:lncRNA from 1 species